rnacentral:lncRNA from 1 species
UAACUCGGUGAUAACCCUAUCUACGGUGGCGCACUUGACGGAAUCAAGCAGCGACAACAACCGCAUAUUCUCACCGUGCACCGAUGCAACCGUAGAAAAGUCCGGCGGUUUCACUCUCGGAAUCGCUUUUGGGUUGAGAUCUGCGUUUUUAUUCAACAAAUCUGUUCAAUUAUCACCGUGUGAUCGGAGGCUCUCUCUGUCUUCUGCGAACUCACAGCUCUCGGUUUUUCGCCGGUAAUUUCAGUAGUUAUUCGCCGGUAAUUCCAGUAGCUCUCUGUUUUUCGCCGGUAAUUCCAGUAGCUCUUCUGCGAAAUCUGUUCAGGUAGAUGAGAUCUCUCUCCUCACCGUCAAUUCCAGUAGCUUUUUGCCGGUACUUUCUCAUCAGUAGUUAGUAUUUGUGCGUUUAAUGAUGAGAUUCCGGUGGUGUGAAGACAUGGUAAACCUAACGAGAAUGGAUAACUCGUUUUCUGUUAUAGUCAUAGGGGUUCAGUAUGAUAGAUUGGAAGUUAUUGAACAUCACUCAUGAGGAUCGAUAUAUGAUCUCUAUUUGUGCUCAUAAUAAGGUUAUUUGGAUGUUCUAU